CUAAUCGGCCAUACCAUGCUGAAUACGCCGGUUCUCGUCCGAUCACCGAAGCUAAGCAGCAUUGGGCUCGGUCAGUACUUGGGAGGGAGACCAAUACACCAGCUCAGCAUCGCUCAUA
rnacentral:rRNA from 1 species